rnacentral:rRNA from 1 species
GCAAGUCGAGCGCACCCUUCGGGGCGAGCGGCGGACGGGUUAGUAACGCGUGGGAACAUACCCUUUACUACGGAAUAGCCUCGGGAAACUGAGAGUAAUACCUUAUACGCCCUUCGGGGGAAAGAUUUAUCGGAGAAGGAUCAGCCCGCGUUAGAUUAGAUAGUUGGUGGGGUAACGGCCUACCAAGUCUACGAUCUAUAGCUGGUUUUAGAGGAUGAUC